AACAAACGCUGGCGGCGUGCCUAAUACAUGCAAGUCGAACGAGGAAAGCUUUCGGGUGAGUACUAGUGGCGCACGGGUGAGGAAUAUAUGGGUAAUCUGCCCUCGAGUUGGGGAUAACCAGUCGAAAGACUGGCUAAUACCGAAUAAGACCACAGGAUCUGCGGAUCUAGGGGUUAAAGGUUUUUCGCUUGAGGAUGAGCCCAUACGGGAUUAGCUAGUUGGCGAGGUAAUGGCUCACCAAGGCUACGAUCCCUAACUGGUCUUAGAGGAUGAGCAGUCACACUGGAACUGAGACACCGCCCAGACUCCUACGGGAGGCAGCAGUAGGGAAUAUUGCACAAUGGGGGAAACCCUGAUGCAGCGACGCCGCGUGAGUGAUGAAGGCCUUCGGGUCGUAAAGCUCUGUCGUAUGGGACUAACACAAUGAAGGUACCAUGCAAGAAAGGAUCGGCUAACUUCGUGCCAGCCGCCGCCGUAA
rnacentral:rRNA from 1 species